AUGAUUUCCAAGUGAAAGUACCUGAAAGUGAUCAAGUAUCCUCUCAAACCCUCUCUUCAAAAAACUGGGUUCUGAUUAACUUACUGUAAUGUAUAAAGAGAGGGAAAGACAGAAGCUCACCAGUGAUGCUCAGUAUGCAAGGGAAAUACAGCACAAGAUGGAUUCAGAGCAUCAGGCUUGCCUAAGACGACAGGAGCAGAAUAGAGAACAGGCUGAGAAGAGACGAGACCAACAUACCAGGCCUGAACAGAGAGAGAAAACCCUAUCUUUCCUCUCUUCUACACGCAGUUAUGAAAGACCAUGGAUAUCAGCUGUACCAGUUACUAGACAGACCUCUGCAGAUGAGGGUUCUGGAUGUGAACAGAAAUCUGCUAUCAAAUCUCUUGGAAAUAAACAUGAAUCUAAAUUUCCUGAUAUCAACAAACCAUCAGUCAAGCAGAAGCAGAAAUCUACCACAAGCUCAAAAAAGGUAGAGAAAAAUCUACUCUGCCCUAACAAAAUAACUCCAGCUUCCCAGAAGCAGUCAUUUUCAAGGGGAAAGAGAGAAAACCAAAGAGGAUCAUUGGGAAGCUCAGAUAUACAGAAUAUACGAAAAUUGGAAGACAGAGACAAAAUGACCUCAUUGCUUCAGGCAAAGACAAAAGUUACCAGACGGUUUGAUUUUGGAGUCCAAAAAGACGGUAAAGAGCAGACAAGUGAAAAUACUUUUAAGUAUAAGAAGAAAUCUCAGGAAAGAAGGAAUUUAAUCCAGUCUUCCAAACUAAAUUUAGAUCAGAAAGGUCCAGACAGAGACAAGAAUAUGGAAAAUGUCUUUAUACAAGCUCAGCAAUCUUCAGCUCAGUCAUCUGCACCUACAUUUCAGGGAACCAGUGGUUCGUUUCUAUCCCAUCAAUCCAAUGGUCCAUCUCCCACAUCUACUCAAAAGGCACCUCUGAAAUUCAGAGAUGAGAACAUUUAUUCUAUGCUGUGCUUCAACAUGGAAGAUACAUAUGAAGACAAUGACAGUAGAAAAGAAGAAGAAGAAUUACUAGAAGAAGAAUUUACUUCUUUCAGUCUAAACCAGUCUCAUACUCCACUAGAACAAGCUAGCUUUCCUCACCGGACAUCCUUAGUUCAAGAUAAACAGUUUAAUUCUGAAGAAGUUAGAGAUGAUAAAAAUGUUUUAUCAAGAAGAACUGAAUCUUCCCAUCAACCACUAAGAAAACUCAGCAUAACAGACUCAGCUGUUGAGCAGUUUUCACCGGGGCAAAGAAAAUCUAGGGACAGUGGAAAGUCUUGUGCUCCUUAUCAAUGUUUUUUUGAAGAUAUGGCUUCUGAUAAAAAUGAAAAUGAAACUCUGUCGCUUAGUUCAAGAAACUCACAAACUGAAAACAAGCUAGAUGGCACAUCUAUUUCUGAGAAUCUCAAUAAUGCAAGUGCUGAUGUUUAUAACAGAGAACGGCAAUCGUAUGAAAGCAAUCAGAGAUGUUAUGCUGACCUUCUUACUUCUGCUAGGGCAACAAGUCAUCAGCCAUUAUUUUAUUCUGCAUAUAGUACUCCAAGAUCAUUAAUACGAUCUCUACAUGGGGCUGAGGCCUCAGCAAAUUUGAGCUCAACAACUGUUCCUCCUCAAGUGCUGGAUUUGGAUGGAACUUCAAGGUUUAAUGUUCAUAGACCUUUAUCUCCUAUAAGAAGUAGGGGUUCUUUUUCUGCUGUGGAAAGUUAUGACCCUUUACCUAUACUCAACCCACCUGAAGAAAGUACAUCUCCAAGUGCUCCCUCACAUGAUGAAGAGAACUUAUUAAAUUCACAAAGUUCUUUUAUAUCUCUAGAUUCUACCAACCCAAUUUUAUUUCAAUCAGAUUUCACAGCCUAUCUUUAUAUGGCUGGCAUACAGCAUGACCAGUUAUCACUUGCUUUGCUGGCAAUGUCUGAUCUACACAAUCAAAAUAAUGCUAUGAGCAACAUUACACCCUCUCAUUCACCCUUUCAUUCAAAAGAAAUAAAGAAACCCUCAACAGACCCAGAGAAGCUUAAGAGACUGAAGGAUAGUCUUCUGGAAGAAGAUUCAGAAGAGGAGGGCGACCAAUGUCGUAUCUGUCAGAUUGCGGGGGGUUCUAUAACCAAUCCACUGCUAGAACCAUGCAGUUGUGUGGGAAGCCUACAGUAUGUUCAUCAAGAAUGCUUAAAAAGCUGGCUGAAAGCUAAAAUAAAGUCAGGUGCAGAUCUGGAGACAGUAAAAAAUUGUGAGCUGUGUAAGCAGAGCCUGGUGGUUGAGCUGGGUGAUUUUAAUGUGAGUGACUAUUAUAGAAAUCACCAACAGUCACAGGCACACAGUGAGCUAAUGAAUGCAGGUGUCUACUUGGUGCUGCUGCUUCACCUUUAUGAACAGAGGUUUGCUGAACUCAUGAACUCAUAACGAAACCACCAGAGAUAAGCUCUCAAGAGAAACUAGAGCAGAGGAAAAUUAAACUGACAUUUGGUUUGCUGUCCUUUGGAUUCAAGAGGAAAUUCUACUUGCCCAU